AUUAGUAAAAUUGUAUUAAAAUGUGCUCUUAAGGGCAACUUGGAGUCUUGCAAGAAACAACUUAACGCUUUAGAAGAUAAGAAUAAGAUUUAUGCCUGCACAAUUGCUAAACACGAGCAAAGCAUUGCAGUUUUACGAGACGAAGCGAUGAAUGCUCAGCAACUGCUUGCAAGCGCAGAGAUAAAAGUUUCGAUGCUUCAAGAAGAAAAGCAACUACUUCAAGAUCUUGAAAAAAGCCUUACAGUUGAAAGAAAUGCAUUGUUUGCAUGAAUAUUUACGCCGCCCAUCACAAUCCGGAAUUUUUCCCUGAUCCGGAAUCUUUCAAACCGGAUCGAUUCCUGCCGGAGAACAGCGUCGACGACAUCUGUACGCUUUUAUUCCAUUUAGCGCUGGCGUCCGCACUUGCAUCGCGCAAAAAUACGCCAUGAUUGAGCUGAAAGUUUGUCUGGCCAACAUUUCACGGAAAUCGAAAUUUUCUCUUUCCGAUCCAUCGGCAUGAAAAAAAAAAAAUAAGUUUGCAAUGGCGUUGCUGCAACUUCACGCGCCAUUGGCGGAGAAGACUCAUCCGAAUGCCAUAUGCUGAAUGCCAUAUCGCCCUUUCCGGAUGCUUCCGAGACGCGGACGUCUUUCGAAUUUGAUUAUUCAGCCCUGGCGUUGCCCGUUCCGCUGGAAUUCGCUGACACGGACCGUUUGCAAGAUGUGCCUAUCGACGGCUUUGAUAAAGAGACUGAAGGCUGCGAUGUUCCGACUAUAC
rnacentral:lncRNA from 1 species